rnacentral:rRNA from 1 species
GACGAACGCUGGCGGCGUGCUUAAUACAUGCAAGUCGAACGGUAAGGCCCUGCUUUUGUGGGGUGCUCGAGUGGCGAAAGGGUGAGUAACACGUGAGUAACCUGUCCUUGACUUUGGGAUAACUUCAGGAAACUGGGGUGCAUACAGGAUAGAACCUCUUGCUGCAUGGUGGGGGUUGGAAAGUUUCGUCGGUUCGGGAUGGAAUCGCGGCUUAUCAUCUUGUUGGUGGGGUAGUGGCUUACCAAGGCUUUGACGGGUAGCCAGCCUGAGAGGGUGACCGGCCACAUUGGGACUGAGGUACGGCCCAGACUCCUACGGGAGGCAGCAGUGGGGGAUAGUGCACGAUGGGCGGAAGCCUUAUGCAGCAACUCCGCGUGCGGGAUGACGGCCUUCAGGGUGGAAACCGCGUUCGCCUGUGACGAAGCGUGAGUGACGGUAAUGGGUAAAGAAGCACCGGCUAACUACGUG